CGCGUGGGGGACGAAGGUUUUUGGAUCGUAAACCCCUUUUGUCAAGGAAGAAGCUCUGACGGUACUUGACGAAUAAGCCUCGGCUAACUCCGUGCCAGCAGCCGCGGUAAUACGGAGGAGGCAAGCGUUAUCCGGAAUGAUUGGGCGUAAAGCGUCUGUAGGUGGCCAGCUAAGUCUGCUGUUAAAGAUCACAGCUCAACUGUGGGAAGGCAGUGGAAACUGGCAAGCUAGAGGUUGGUAGGGGUAAAGGGAAUUCCCGGUGUAGCGGUGAAAUGCGUAGAUAUCGGGAAGAACACCGGUGGCGAAAGCGCUUUACUGGGCCAGACCUGACACUGAAGGACGAAAGCUAGGGGAGCGAAAGGGAUUAGAUACCCCUGUAGU
rnacentral:rRNA from 1 species